AGUGAACGCUGGCGGUAGGCCUAACACAUGCAAGUCGAACGGCAGCACAGUAAGAGCUUGCUCUUACGGGUGGCGAGUGGCGGACGGGUGAGGAAUACAUCGGAAUCUACUUUUUCGUGGGGGAUAACGUAGGGAAACUUACGCUAAUACCGCAUACGACCUACGGGUGAAAGCAGGGGAUCUUCGGACCUUGCGCGAUUGGAUGAGCCGUUGUCGGAUUAGCUAGUUGGCGGGGUAAAGGCCCACCAAGGCGACGAUCCGUAGCUGGUCUGAGAGGAUGAUCAGCCACACUGGAACUGAGACACGGUCCAGACUCCUACGGGAGGCAGCAGUGGGGAAUAUUGGACAAUGGGCGCAAGCCUGAUCCAGCCAUACCGCGUGGGUGAAGAAGGCCUUCGGGUUGUAAAGCCCUUUUGUUGGGAAAGAAAAGCAGCAGGUUAAUACCCCGCUGUUCUGACGGUACCCAAAGAAUAAGCACCGGCUAACUUCGUG
rnacentral:rRNA from 1 species